rnacentral:lncRNA from 1 species
AUUUUUUAAAUGAACCUAUGAUAGAAAAAAGCCGAAAGUUUUUUAAAUAAAACUGCGUACACUGAUAAUUUCUUUGGAGAUUGCACCUUUGCCUGCGAAUAUACCGCACCGUAUAUUCCCCGGAUUAUUAGCCGGCCACAACAACAACAACAAUAUAAAUCGUGAUAGAUUUUAUGCAGAUAUCACUUAUGCUUCGUUUACGAAAUACUUCUUUUAUUGGUGCCACAAAACAAAACUCACAGAACCUUAGGAUGAUGAAGCUCCACAGCUCUUAGAGAACUCCUAUGCAUAGGAGAAUGGUGAGGCAAAAAACACCAAAAUACUGAUAACAGAACAUCGAGAAAAAAUUAUUGAAUUGCAGCUGUUUGGUGGUUAUACGUUUAAUCAAACCGCUGCCUUUGAAAUUAUGCAUGAUGAAAGACAAACUUUGCUGUAUUGCCUAUGACAUCGAGAUGGAACAGCGAGUUGUAUUGGAAACAACUUUACCCGAUGUUUGUGUGAUAAAGGUUUUGAGGCGCUAGUCUAACUGCUAUUAAUAAACGUUUAAGGACAAGACAUCACUAGGCAUCUAGUGAUACGUGUGCUCAAGAAUGAUGUGGUAAAUUAAGGAUUCCCUACAUCGAAAAGAUAUGGUCUUCAUCGGCGAAGUUAUUUUGGCUGAGAUGGCAAAGGAUUGCGGUGAUUUUUGGAUGUGUGAAACAAGAAAAGUAGGAAAAGCGUUACAGAACAACGAACACACAGUAUUAGCAAGGACCAAAAGUUUUGAAAAGAAAUUUAAAAUUGUUAUUGUAUCAGGUAUAGGUACUUCGUUUUUUUCUGUUUAUAUAAUAUAUGUAUGUAUAUCUGAGCUAAAAACGACAAGACAGUUAAUAACAGUCUGUAUUAACAACUCGUAUUUACAAAAUUGAUUAUUUUUUGCAAGUUAUGUACACUUGUAUGUAUACGUCUAUGCUUUUCAUUAAUUUUAACAAUUAGUUUUAUUUGAAAGAAUUG